AAAUUUGUUGUUGCUUUUCGCAUCACGAUACACAGACUGGUUACCCAUUGAAAUUCAUCAACUUUUGAUAAAAUCUACACUUUUUAGAUUUAUAUAGUAAGAUUGUUUUGUGUUUUGUUUUUGCAAGUAAUACUUUAAUCAAUUAAUAAUAACAAUAUUCGUUUGCGGAUGUUAAUCCUUGGCAACACGCAAUGGCAGACGACAUAUUCAUAUUUAGAUUUUAAACAACACACAUGUCAAUUUAAGUUGCUUAUAUGUUGUAUCGAUAACUGCAUAUUAAUACAGCCUCUCGUUUUUUAAUAGGAAGAUAUCUCCGUUUUAAUUUCAACAGAAAAUUAAAGUCAAAUUUGGAAAAUGAAAAGCAAAGUUCGCCAUUUUCUAUUUUUUGUAACUCGCUUUUGAAAUGGUUUUCGUUCGUUCGUUGCUUGAUAUAUGCCUGUCAAAGAAAACUCGUUAGUUUAUUGACUCGUUGAAACAAUGAAUGCGGGUAUUCAAACAUCAGUCAUAAAUUAUCUCUGCAAAAAUUUUCUGUUUUACUCAUGAUACAUUUAAAUAAGUUUGUUUCGUUAACUCAAAAAAAUUACAUUUUGUAUAUAAUUCAUUAUAAAGGUUUUGUCGAUAGACCAAAAACAACAAUUUGUCAAAAGUGUUUUAAUUCAUAUUGCUGUUGUUGUUGUAACGGUUAUCUAAUCCCCGCUUGGGUGGUAAGGUUCAGAUUGAUUGUCGGCAAAGUCAUCUAACGGGUCAUAGGGAGAAAGGUGUUACUGCAAAUUGUCAAAACCAGCUGUUUUAUUCGUUUUUAUGACACAAAAAAAAUCAAACUUUCGGUCCAAACAAGUGUUUUUUCAGUGAAAAUGUAAACAAGACACUCAUGAGGAGAACAUUAAAAGAUGUAGAUGUCAGUUCUCGACAGCUGCUCUGUUCAUUUUCAGCAUCUUGAUUUUUAAUACCCAAUCCAUAAUAGCAGCUACAACUCUGUAUCCAGUGUGGAGAAAAUUAAUGUUUCCUGAAUAUUUGGCUUGUGAUUUUUGAUAGAAGUACACUUCGUAUAUUGCUAUAGACAAAUGAUUUUUGUCUAGUUUCCGUAAGAUACUACGUUCUAAGAAAUCAUUUGGCGUUUGUGACGAAGAAUUUAUUGGUCGUAUUUUGUAAAUUAUUUCUUUGGUUAGAUAUAAAGUUAUACCAUCCAAAAUGUACAAGAAUCAGAAACAUUAGAUUUGGAAAUAAAGAAAAGAAAAGUAAUAAAUGAAA